rfam:Herminiimonas arsenicoxydans chromosome, complete sequence.
UGUCUCCUCUAUGUCUCCUCCUUUGAUAUAGAUUUAGCCCGCCUUCUUGUGCGGGCUUUUUUUU